rnacentral:rRNA from 1 species
AUGAGGUCCAAUGUCACCAAUGAGACCCUAGCAGAUUUUGUUAAGUCUGGAUAUCUGCCCAAGAAGGAUGUCAUGUCCUACCGUGCCCCUGACCCGUCAGAAGAGAGACCACAGCCAAAGGACGGGGAGGUAGUGAUUUUUGCAGAUCAUAUGAGCCGGGGCUUCGCACCGCCCGGCUCAAAGUUUUUUAGGGACGUGCUAAACUUCUUCGACUUACGGCCUCAAGACAUUGGACCCAACUCAGUGUCCAACAUCUACAACUUCCAAGUCUUCUGCGAGGUUUACCUUGGAGAAGAACCUAGUCUGCUGCUCUUCAGAGAGCUUUUUCACUUGAACCGUCAGAAUGAGUGCGCCAAUGGGCCAAGUCUGGAGUUAGGUGGUAUCUCCAUCCAGCGGCGUAGGGACUGCCUUUUUCCUUACGCAGAGCCGCCGAGCCACCCAAAAGACUGGAACUUGACUUGGUUCUAUUGCCAAGACACGUCACCGGCUGAUGAAAGUCCGCUGCCUGGCUUUCGCCCAUCGCGUCUGGAGCCGACUCACCCACUGUCAGACAAGCUGACUCAAGCGGAGCGCCAACCUCUGCUCCCCACUAUCAACAAGAUCAAGGCUCUCCUGGGCAAUGGUCUGAAUGGGAUCGACCUGGUCCGGGUCUGGAUCUCAUGGCGGGUGAUCCCAUUGAGCCGCCGCCCCGGCUUAAUGUGCGAGUACACGGGCCGAAAGGACGACCCUCACAGACACAGCCGCAACGAUCUUCCUGAAGACGUUGCAGAAGAGAUGACCAAGGCUCUCUUGAACGAGAGCCUGGCAGACUGCGGAAGGACCGGGUUAGCCCCCUUCUGCAAGACCAACCCAGCCCCAGCGGUAAGCCGCUAA